UGGGGAAUAUUGGACAAUGGGCGAAAGCCUGAUCCAGCAAUGCCGCGUGUGUGAAGAAGGCCUUCGGGUUGUAAAGCACUUUCGGUAGGGAGGAUGUUGACUAUGUUUAAGAGAUAUAGUUGAUGACGUUACCUACAGAAGAAGCACCGGCUAACUCUGUGCCAGCAGCCGCGGUAAUACAGAGGGUGCAAGCGUUAAUCGGAAUUACUGGGCGUAAAGGGUGAGUAGGUGGUAUUUUAAGUUAUAUGUGAAAUUUCUGAGCUUAACUUGGAAAGUGCAUGUAAUACUGGAUUACUAGAGUACUGUAGAGGGCGAUGGAAUUUCCGGUGUAGCGGUGAAAUGCGUAGAUAUCGGAAGGAACACCAGUGGCGAAGGCGAUCGCCUGGACAGAUACUGACACUAAUACACGAAAGCGUGGGGAGCAAACAGG
rnacentral:rRNA from 1 species